GCACUAAUGAAGAGUCCCACAAUGGGACGAAACGGUCGUCCAGUGC
rnacentral:hammerhead_ribozyme from 1 species